rnacentral:rRNA from 3 species
AGCUUGCUGGGGGAUUAGUGGCGAACGGGUGAGUAACACGUGAGUAACCUGCCCUUGACUCUGGGAUAAGCCUGGGAAACUGGGUCUAAUACCGGAUAUGACCUUCCAUCGCAUGGUGGUUGGUGGAAAGCUUUUGUGGUUUUGGAUGGACUCGCGGCCUAUCAGCUUGUUGGUGGGGUAAUGGCCUACCAAGGCGACGACGGGUAGCCGGCCUGAGAGGGUGACCGGCCACACUGGGACUGAGACACGGCCCAGACUCCUACGGGAGGCAGCAGUGGGGAAUAUUGCACAAUGGGCGCAAGCCUGAUGCAGCGACGCCGCGUGAGGGAUGACGGCCUUCGGGUUGUAAACCUCUUUCAGUAGGGAAGAAGCGUAAGUGACGGUACCUGCAGAAGAAGCGCCGGCUAACUACGUGCCAGCAGCCGCGGUAAUACGUAGGGCGCAAGCGUUAUCCGGAAUUAUUGGGCGUAAAGAGCUCGUAGGCGGUUUGUCGCGUCUGCCGUGAAAGUCCGGGGCUCAAC